AUUCGUGCGGAGCACGCGAAUGCGAGUGGUUCAACGAGCGUAGAAAGACCUCUAUCAUCGAAUCCAAUUUACCGAACACAACCGGGCCGAUUACAUCGCAACGAGAACAGGUCUCGCGUGGAACUACUCGAGAGCCACGAGUCCUCUCAUUAGGGUAUCGGGUCACGAGUUAUAUCUAUCGCGUUGCUGUUCUGUGGCCUGGUGUGUGCGGUUAUGGGGGGAUUAUAUUCGCCAACAGCCGUCGGUCAAGGUUCGCCGAGAUAAGACCGGGUAACCAAAUAAACGAGGAAGGAAGGAGUCGAGCCUCCAAGGAACGAACGUAUACCGUACAGCUUUUAAUCGAGGACAACGGUCUCACGGUAAUCAAUUAAUCUCUCGGCCCUCAUCGUUCAUCCUAUCGACGGAUGUUAAUAAUUGAGUUGGUAUCGCAACGACGGGGAUUCGGGGAGGCGUUUCUAACUUGUGCCCGUCUGAGAAAUAAGUUUCGGAGUUUGAUUUAAAAGUUUCUUUGAUUAACGAGAGUCGUCCCACUUAUUGGUCGAUACCACAGAGAAUUCGACGAUCAAACGAUUAAUCUUCGUAACGAGUGACUCGUUGAAUUUCAAGAUACGUAGCCUCGAUAAGAGUGUCAAAGCGACAAUCAAGCGUUUUUGCGCGAGAUUAACAUUUCAAGUUGCAACGAACGCGAGGCAUUUUGCAUUUCGUGCCGGCUGUAACAGCCAUAAAGAAAACGAACGCGGAGCGUGUCUGACCUCUGAACGUUAUUGCGACUAAACCAUCUACGUGGCAACAGUGACACAAGAGGGAAAAUCAGGUUCUUCAAGGUGGCCGUAACCACGGAAUAAUUCUUGCGCAUGAAAGGAGAGAAGAACUAAGAGCGAGAAGAGAUAAAGACCACGGAGAGGAGACGUUAAGUUCGUGACGAUGCGUAUAUUCGGUGUCUCGGUCUCGGUGGAAAUAAAACAACCGCGGGGGGAAAAAGGACGGUGAUGUGGCCCACUUGCGGUGACAUGACAUAACCGGUAUGGCGAAUUUUAUUGCGUAGAGGAGGCAAGACCUCGUCGGAUGAGUGUGUAAGAGCGAGCACCUGUGUUUCGACAUAGAGGCAUACUUUCCUUACGGCGUGGAUCUCCCUCGGCGGUUCGUCAAGAAGACAAAAGUAAUCGAAUUAUCUAACACUUUGCAGAACGCAGUAAGAACGUGAUUUCAUUUAAUAUUAGUAAUUUUUGAUUUUAUUUUACUUUAAUUCGUGAUUUGGCAGUCAGUGUAUUUUUAU